rnacentral:rRNA from 1 species
GUCGAACGGUAGCAGGAAGUGCUUGCACUUUGCUGACGAGUGGCGGACGGGUGAGUAAUACUUAGGAACAUGCCUUUGUGUGGGGGAUAACCAUUGGAAACGAUGGCUAAUACCGCAUAAUGUCUUUGGACCAAAGAGGGCUUUCGGGCUCUCGCGCAAAGAGUGGCCUAAGUGAGAUUAGCUUGUUGGUGAGGUAAAGGCUCACCAAGGCGACGAUCUCUAGCUGUUCUGAGAGGAAGAUCAGCCACACUGGGACUGAGACACGGCCCAGACUCCUACGGGAGGCAGCAGUGGGGAAUAUUGCACAAUGGGGGCAACCCUGAUGCAGCCAUGCCGCGUGUGUGAAGAAGGCCUUCGGGUUGUAAAGCACUUUCAGUUGUGAGGAAAGUUUGACGGUUAAUACCCGUUAGAUGUGACGUUAGCAACAGAAGAAGGACCGGCUAACUCCGUGCCAGCAGCCGCGGUAAUACGGAGGGUCCGAGCGUUAAUCGGAAUUACUGGGCGUAAAGCGCACGCAGGCGGUUUGUUAAGCUAGAUGUGAAAGCCCCGGGCUCAACCUGGGAAUAGCAUUUAGAACUGGCAGGCUAGAGUCUUGGAGAGGGGAGUGGAAUUUCUGGUGUAGCG